AGACUGGAUAGGAAACAAAAAGGCAUCUUUUUGUUUUUAAAAGACCUUCUUACGAAGGUAUGCUUAAAGAGGGGCUUGCGCCACAUUAGUUAGUUGGUAGAGUAAAAGCCUACCAAGACGAUGAUGUGUAGCUGGACUGAGAGGUUGAACAGCCACAUUGGGACUGAGACACGGCCCAAACUCCUACGGGAGGCAGCAGUAGGGAAUUUUCGGCAAUGGAGGAAACUCUGACCGAGCAACGCCGCGUGAACGAUGAAGUAUUUCGGUAUGUAAAGUUCUUUUAUUGAAGAAGAAAAAGUAGUGGAAAAACUAUAUUGACGUUAUUCAAUGAAUAAGCCCCGGCUAACUAUGUGCCAGCAGCCGCGGUAAGACAUAGGGGGCGAGCGUUAUCCGGAAUUAUUGGGCGUAAAGGGUGCGUAGGCUGUUAGAUAAGUCUAUAAUUUAAUUUCCGUGCUUAACGCUGUCUUGUUAUAGAAACUGUCUUGACUAGAGUGAGAUAGAGGCAAGCGGAAUUCCAUGUGUAGCGGUAAAAUGUGUAAAUAUAUGGAGGAACACCAGAAGCGUAGGCGGCUUGCUGGGUUUUUACUGACGCUGAGGCACGAAAGCGUGGGUAGCAAACAGGAUUAGAUACCCUGGUAGUCCCCGCCGUAAACGAUGAGUACUAAGUGUCGGGGUAAAACUCGGUACUGAAGUUAACACAUUAAGUACUCCGCCUGAGUAGUACGUACGCAAGUAUGAAACUUAAAGGAAUUGACGGGACUCCGCACAAGCGGUGGAUCAUGUUGUUUAAUUCGAAGAUACACGAAAAAUCUUACCAGGUCUUGACAUACUCUGCAAAGCUAUAGAAAUAUAGUGGAGGUUAUCAGGGAUACAGGUGGUGCAUGGUUGUCGUCAGUUCGUGUCGUGAGAUGUUAGGUUAAGUCCUAAAACGAACGCAACCCUUGUCGUUAAUUGCCAGCACAUAAUGGUGGGGACUUUAACGAGACUGCCAAUUAAACAUUGGAGGAAGGUGAGGAUUACGUCAAAUCAUCAUGCCCCUUAUGAUUUGGGCUACAAACGUGAUACAAUGGCUGUGACAAAGAGUAGCUGAAACGCGAGUUUUUAGCCAAUCUCAAAAAAGCAGUCUCAGUUCGGAUUGAAGUCUGUAACUCGACUUCAUGAAGUUGGAAUCGCUAGUAAUCGCGAAUCAGCAUGUCGCGGUGAAUACGUUCUCGGGGUUUGUACACACCGCCCGUCAAACCACGAAAGUUAGCAAUGCCCGAAAGCAGUAGCUUAA
rnacentral:rRNA from 1 species